GUGGCUCAGUGGUAGAGUGCUUGCCUUGCAUGCAAGAGGCCCUGGGUUUGAUUCCGCAGC
rnacentral:tRNA from 1 species